AGGACGAACGCUGGCGGCGUGCCUAAUACAUGCAAGUCGAACGGUCUUUUCUAUGGAAGCUUGCUUCCACUGAGAAGAUAGUGGCGGACGGGUGAGUAACACGUGGGUAACCUGCCCAUAAGAGGGGGAUAACAUCCGGAAACGGGUGCUAAUACCGCAUAGUUUUCUUGAUCGCAUGAUCGAGAAAGGAAAGACGGCCUUUGUGCUGUCGCUUAUGGAUGGACCCGCGGCGUAUUAGUUAGUUGGUGAGGUAAUGGCUCACCAAGACGAUGAUACGUAGCCGACCUGAGAGGGUGAUCGGCCACAUUGGGACUGAGACACGGCCCAAACUCCUACGGGAGGCAGCAGUAGGGAAUCUUCCGCAAUGGACGAAAGUCUGACGGAGCAACGCCGCGUGAGUGAAGAAAGGUUUUCGGAUCGUAAAACUCUGUUGUCAGAGAAGAACAAGUCGGAGAGUAACUGCUCCGGCCUUGACGGUAUCUGACCAGAAAGCCACGGCUAACUACGUGCCAGCAGCCGC
rnacentral:rRNA from 1 species